rnacentral:rRNA from 1 species
AUGGAGGACUUUGUUGCUUGGAAUUUUAACAAAACCGACAUAUUUACCGUCAGGUCCGCGUAUUACACUGAAUGGGAGUUCCAACACGGGAGGAAAUUGGCUAGGACGAGCCCUCCAAGCACCACCACAGUGAACCCUGUCUGGCAGCAGCUGUGGAAACUUCAAGUCCCGCUAAAGGUAAAGAUCCACUGUUGGAGGGUAUUGCAUGGGACCAUUCCAUGUAAUAGCAUUCUUGCUAAUCGACACAUACAGACUAGUAGCCUCUGCCCUGUUUGCAAAGUCCAUUGUGAGGAUAUCAAGCAUGCUACUUUCUCAUGUGUUCGAGUUUCAAAAGUCUGGGGCAGUUUGGGCGCGGGUGACGCCAUAUCUGCAGCCUACGGACAUGAUAAUACAGGCCCGGGUGCCUUGGAAACCAUACUGCAAGGUCAGAUUUCGGGACCUACUCACAUUUCGGCUGUGGGGUUUAAGGAACUAGUUGCGACGGCUUGCUGGUAUACAUCAAAACCAGCAGCUAAGAUUCGAAGACAUGGCUGGGAACAACCUGGAGUUGGAUUUGCAAAGCUGAAUGUUGAUGUGGCGUUCUCUGUUGAUGCGGGAAGUGGAGCGAUAGGAGCCGUCAUCCACGAUGAUCAAGGCAGAUUCUUAUCGGCGAGUGCUUGUGCUAUCAGUUACGUAGCUGAUGCACCUACAGCUGAAGCUCGCUCUAUCCGGGAUGGAUUGAUCCUAGCAAGCAACUCAGGAUGCAAUAACAUCAUUGUUAAUUCAGACUGCCUGGAAGUAAUUCAGACUAUGCAGGAGGAUGGCAAUUCGAUUGGUGCUGCAGCUGCUAUCUAUGAGGAGUGUAGUUUUUUAGCAAGGAAUUUCUCCAGUAUUUCUUUUGUUCAUUGUCCUAGGGAAAGUAAUAAGGUAGCUCAUUUGCUAGCUAGUCAAGCGGAGGGACCUCUUACCACUUCGUGGUAUGUGGAUCCACCUAGUUUCAUUUUAGAUGCUUUGGCAAAUGAUGUAAACUUAUUUGAAGAUUAA